rnacentral:rRNA from 1 species
AGGACGAGCGCUGGCGGCGUGCCUAACACAUGCAAGUCGAACGGGAUCCGCAAGGAUUCAGUGGCGCACGGGUGCGUAACACGUGAGGAACAUAGCCAUCGGCGGGGGAUAGCCGGCCCAACGGCCGGGUAAUACCGCGUACGAUCUUCGAGGGGCAUCCUCUGGAGAUGAAAGCAGCAAUGCGCCGAUGGGGUGCCUCGCGGCCUAUCAGCUAGUUGGUGAGGUAAUGGCUCACCAAGGCUACGACGGGUAGCUGGUCCGAGAGGAUGACCAGCCACAUUGGGACUGAGACACGGCCCAGACUCCUACGGGAGGCAGUCAGUGGGGAAUAUUGCGCAAUGGGGAAACCCUGACGCAGCGACGCCGCGUGUGGGAUGGAAGGUCUUCGGAUUGUAAACCACGUGUCGCGGGGACAAGGCUCGUGACGGUACCUCGAAAGGAAGCACCGGCUAAACUCUGUGCCAGCAGCCGC